AAAAUCAUUAUCAAAUAACUACAGCUUGAAAAAGUUGGCGGGCGGGACGGAAAACGCGGCCUGGAUCGCGCGGUGGCCGCCUCCGCUCCAGGCGCGCCGCGCCGCGCCGCGGUAGCCAAAAAUGCGAGGAGAACAUCUGUAACGCAUUUAAGGGAUGUUCACCUUUGAGACCGCGCCGCUGGAUGGAGGCGCUCCCUGCCUCUUCCCCAUAGCCAGAGGAGUUCAGGACAGGCCAACUCACUUCCACUCGCCCAAGUCAACCCCGUGUGGAAGACGGAGCCUGACAUGGCAGGGCAGCUGGAUGGGGCUUUGGUCCUUGACUGCAUGGGCCCUGGCGUGUCCCUUCCAACGUGGACCCUGCAGCCAUGCAGAGCAACAGAGCCAAAGCCAGAGAACCCAGCACUGGCCUGGCCCGGCCUCAAUCACCCACCAGGAGUCACUGACCCAGCGAGUGGAGAGUUAGACUGCCAGGCUCCGAGUGGCACAGCCGUGGCGGCGGCGGGGAAGUGGAAUUCCAACUAAUACAUGUAGAAAGAACGAUGGACUUGAGAACCACCAUCUGGCAAAUACCACACUACAAAUUUUUUCUGGCAAGAAUCAUGAAUGGAUGUUAAAAUUGAUGGACAAAAAAGUAUAUGAGAAACAGGAUAUUUAGAGUCUUAAAGUAGCCUCCCCACUGGACACUUAUUAGUGGGAAAGGGAAAAUAGCAACUUUACAUUGGAGAAACUUGGCAGACAUCUUAAUCAAAAGUCAAAAUUAAUAUCCGCAAUAUCAAAGACAAACACAUCACGUGCCCCCUGAUAUGAUGCAGUGACAAAGAUACAACCUGCUUUUGUGGUAUCUUUACCAAAAAUGCCUACCCUGAAAUUAAUGGUGGAGAAGCAUCAGAAAAUGCCAAUAGAGAGGCAUUCUAGAAAACAAGCAGCCGGUACUGUUUAAACGUGUCAGGGUCAUGAAAGACAAAGACGAGAAACUGUUUCUGAUUCAAGAAGACUAUGUAUGGCCUCAUGGCAACUAAAAGCAAAGUGAUCCUCCAUUGAAUCCUGGAUCAGAAAAAAGAGCAGGAGUGGGACCACCUGGGAAAUUCAAGUAAGGGUUUUGAUUAGGUCAGAAUGUUUCCUGAUUUUGAUCAUCGUAUUGUGUAAGAUGUUAAUAUUUAGACAGCCUGGAUAGACUAUACAGGAAUUCUUCGUACUAUGUUUGUAACUUUUUGGAAAGUCUGAAAUACCUCAAAAUGAAAAGUUAACAAAAACCACAGCAAAAUUCUGCUUUUAAAACUCCUUUAUUGGCCGUUGGCCUAAGGAGGGAGUUCCUUUAGCCAGACUGUCACCAGCCUUGAGAUCUGGCUCCAGCCCACCUGGAGCAUCAGGUCUGGCGCUCAGCAGCACACAGGGUGAUGCUGCCCGUCAUCCUUCGCUGUUACGGCAGGUCCCACCCCUACUCAUCUUCCUCCCUUUUUUCCUUCUGAGAAGUACUGAGACUUGGCCCUUAACAGGAGAUCACCUUCCAGGAACUCCCAGUCUGGUGAUGGAGGCAGACACAGAAUCUGACAACAACAGUGCAGAGUGAGCUGGGACUCAGUGGUGGAUUCUGUCUCAGCUGCCUCCUCCGCGGGUGAAAAUUUCAAGGCUGACUUUCCCAUCACCUCGUUGGUGAAGCUUUGUGGCUCCUCCAAGUAGAGGGAGCUGCCCUCAUCCAUCCUCCCUGAGUCUGUACCGUGGGUCCCUUUUCAAAGCAUCUCCCAUCGGCUCUGCCCAGGAAGUCUUCUGAGGGGCUUCCGCGAUCCUGGGGCUCCUUGAUGUCUGGAUCUGUGCUCCGUUCAAUUCUGGAUGCCCCUAAAGCAAGACGUUGUCAGGAACUAACUGUGUCUUCUGUGAUGAUGAGUCUGGUACCAGGGCAGUGGGAUAAAAACCCUCAUUUUGAGAAGUGAAUCCUCCUGCUUCAGAAAAUCGAUUGGACUCUCUGGAGAACAGGACCCUGGGAGUUGGGCUGCUAUGCUUGGACAGAGGCAGGAUUGAGGGGUGGGAGGAGGAGGGGGAAAGGGGAGUGGCAGGGCAGAGAUGGCAGACAGACAUCUAGGGGGAGGGAUUUUAACAGAUUCCUAUA